rnacentral:rRNA from 1 species
ACGCUCGACACCUACGGGGGCAGCAGUAGGGAAUCUUCCACAAUGGACGCAAGUCUGAUGGAGCAACGCCGCGUGAGUGAAGAAGGUUUUCGGAUCGUAAAGCUCUGUUGUUGGUGAAGAAGGAUAGAGGUAGUAACUGGCCUUUAUUUGACGGUAAUCAACCAGAAAGUCACGGCUAACUACGUGCCAGCAGCCGCGGUAAUCUGAGCGGGCUGGCAAGGC